GACGAACGCUGGCGGUGUGCCUAACACAUGCAAGUCAAAGGAAAGCAACUUCGGUUGUAAGUACUUGGCGCAAGGGUGAGUAAUGUAUAGGUAAUCUGCCCUUAGGACUGGCAUAACCUCGAGAAAUCGAGGACAAUACCAGAUGAUGCAGCGGGACCGCAUGGUCAUGUUGUUAAAGAUUUAUCGCCUAAGGAUGAACCUAUAUCCCAUCAGGUAGUUGGCAGGAUAGUAGCCUACCAAGCCUACGACGGGUAGCUGGUCUGAGAGGAUGAUCAGCCACAUUGGAACUGAGACACGGUCCAGACUCCUACGGGAGGCAGCAGUGAGGAAUAUUGCGCAAUGGGCGAAAGCCUGACGCAGCAACGCCGCGUGGAUGAUGAAGUUCUUCGGAAUGUAAAGUCCUUUUGUAGAGGAAGAACAUGUCGGUUUACCGGCACUGACGGUACUCUGCGAAUAAGCCACGGCUAACUCUGU
rnacentral:rRNA from 1 species